rnacentral:tRNA from 1 species
AGCAGGGUGGCCUAUUGAAAAGAGCACCAGCUUUGAAGUCUGAGGACCUGGGUUCUAAACCUAGCUCUGCCA